UGACCAGAAGACACUGACAAUAAGAAUGGUUUUAUACAAUAUGGCAUUAGAGCAGAUCACUCAAGGCAUGCGCAGACAAUAAUUCACAUUUCUACCACAUUGGAGAGUACAAAAUCACAUGUUGAAUAUUGACCGGAAGACACUGACAAUCAGAAUGGUUUUAUGCAAUAUGGCAUUAGAGCAGAUCACUCAAGGCAUGCGCAGACAAUA